rnacentral:rRNA from 1 species
CCUACGGGAGGCAGCAGUGAGGAAUAUUGGUCAAUGGGCGCGAGCCUGAACCAGCCAAGUCGCGUGAGGGAAGACGGUCCUAUGGAUUGUAAACCUCUUUUGUCGGGGAGCAAAAGACGCCACGCGUUGCGUUCCGAGAGUACCCGAAGAAAAAGCAUCGGCUAACUCCGUGCCAGCAGCCGCGGUAAUCCGGAGGAUGCGAGCGUUAUCCGGAUUUAGUGGGUUUAAAGGGUGCGCAGGCGGAAGAUCAAGUCAGCGGUAAAAUUGAGAGUCUCAACCUCUUCGAGCCGGUGAAACUGGUUUUCUUGAGUGAGUGAGAAGUAUGCGGAAUGCGUGGUGUAGCGGUGAAAUGCAUAGAUAUCACGCAGAACUCCGAUUGCGAAGGCAGCAUACCGGCGCUCAACUGACGCUCAUGCACGAAAGUGUGGGUAUCGAACAGGAUUAGAUACCCUAGUAGUC